rnacentral:rRNA from 1 species
GAUCCUGGCUCAGGAUGAACGCUAGCUACAGGCUUAACACAUGCAAGUCGAGGGGAAACGACAUCGAAAGCUUGCUUUUGAUGGGCGUCGACCGGCGCACGGGUGAGUAACGCGUAUCCAACCUGCCCACCACUUGGGGAUAACCUUGCGAAGGUAAGACUAAUACCCAAUGACAUCCCACGAAGACAUCUGAACGGGAUUAAAGAUUUAUCGGUGAUGGAUGGGGAUGCGUCUGAUUAGCUUG